rnacentral:rRNA from 1 species
CCCUACGCUUAACNUAGGAACGGCCAUUGAUACUGUUAGGCUUGAAUUAUUANGAAGUAACUAGAAUAUGUAGUGUAGCGGUGAAAUGCUUAGAGAUUACAUGGAAUACCAAUUGCGAAGGCAGGUUACUACUAAUUGAUUGACGCUGAUGGACGAAAGCGUGGGUAGCGAACAGGAUUAGAUACCCUGGUAGUCCACGCCGUAAACGAUGGAUACUAGCUGUUGGGAGCAAUCUCAGUGGCUAAGCGAAAGUGAUAAGUAUCCCACCUGGGGAGUACGUUCGCAAGAAUGAAACUCAAAGGAAUUGACGGGGGCCCGCACAAGCGGUGGAGCAUGUGGUUUAAUUCNAUGAUACGCGAGGAACCUUACCAAGGCUUAAAUGUAGAUUGACCGAUUUGGAAACAGAUUUUUCGCAAGACAAUUUACAAGGUGCUGCAUGGUUGUCGUCAGCUCGUGCCGUGAGGUGUCAGGUUUAAGUCCUAUAAACGAGCGCAACCCCUGUUGUUAGUUGCCAGCGAGUCAAGUCGGGAACUCUAACAAGACUGCCAGUGCAAACUGUGAGGAANGUGGGGAUGACGUCAAAUCAUCACGGC